AGUUUGAUCCUGGCUCAGAUUGAACGCUGGCGGCAUGCCUUACACAUGCAAGUCGAACGGUAACAGGUCUUCGGAUGCUGACGAGUGGCGAACGGGUGAGUAAUACAUCGGAACGUGCCCGAUCGUGGGGGAUAACGGAGCGAAAGCUUUGCUAAUACCGCAUACGAUCUACGGAUGAAAGUAGGGGACCUUCGGGCCUUAUGCUUUUGGAGCGGCCGAUAUCUGAUUAGCUAGUUGGUGAGGUAAAGGCUCACCAAGGCGACGAUCAGUAGCUGGUCUGAGAGGACGACCAGCCACACUGGAACUGAGACACGGUCCAGACUCCUACGGGAGGCAGCAGUGGGGAAUAUUGGACAAUGGGCGCAAGCCUGAUCCAGCAAUGCCGCGUGAGUGAUGAAGGCCUUAGGGUUGUAAAGCUCUUUUACCCGGGAUGAUAAUGACAGUACCGGGAGAAUAAGCCCCGGCUAACUCCGUGCCAGCAGCCGCGGUAA
rnacentral:rRNA from 1 species